rnacentral:rRNA from 2 species
CUAGUGGAAACGGUAGCUAAUACCGCAUAACGUCGCAAGACCAAAGUGGGGGACUUUAGGGCCUCACGCCACAAGAUGAACCCAGAUGAGAUUAGCUAGUAGGUGCGGUAAUGGCGUACCUAGGCGACGAUCUCUAGCUGGUCUGAGAGGAUAACCAGCCACACUGGAACUGAGAAACGGUCCAGACUCCUACGGGAGGCAGCAGUGGGGAAUA